AUUGAACGCUGGCGGCAGGCCUAACACAUGCAAGUCGAACGCGUGGCGGACGGCUGAGUAAUGUCUUUGAAACUGCCUGAUGGAGUUGGAUAACUACUGGAAAGGGUAGCUAAUACCUCAUACCAUCGACUGUGCCCAGAUUGGAUUGGCUUGUAGGUGUGGUAAAGGGUCACAUGGGCGACGAUCCCUAGCUGGUCCUAGAGGAUGACCGGCGACACUGGAACUGAGACACGGUCCAGAGUACUACGGGAGGCAGCAGUGGGGAAUAGUGCGCAAUGGGCGCAAGCCUGAUGCAGUCAUGCCGAGUGUAUGAAGAAGGCCUUCGGGUUGUAAAGUACUUUCAGCGGGGAGGCGUUACCCGCAGAAGAAGCACCGGCUAACUCCGUGCCAGCAGCCGCGGUAAGUC
rnacentral:rRNA from 1 species